GGUAGAAUUGGCAGGCUAAUUGCUCAGAACUAGAAUAUUGAUCCAGAUUUUUACAUUAUCCAUCCCCUUUUGUUUUGUCUUAGCCACAUCCGGAGAUUGCUGCUUGGUUCAUAGGAAUAAGCAAGGUUAGUCUAAAAUGUAGACAAAAGUUAACUAAUGAUGAUAAGUUAUAAAACCUAAUUUCUCUCUAGUCCUCAUUUCUGUUAAAAACAAAUCAUGAUAGAGCUGCGUUCUUUGCAAAAUAGACUUUAGUCUUAUACUUGUCCUGAUUGUUUGCUUAAAGUGCGGCAAGAAUAAUAAUUUCUACACAGGCAUUUUAGAUUGGCUUUGAUGGAACUCUGUUCUACAAGGAAUCAGUGGGGGAUCCAUCAGAUGGCAGGAAAAACUAUAGAGAAAGGAUGCAAACCUUCUGAAAGGUCAGAGGGUUUUGCAGAGUCCCGGGGAAGGAACAGGUGAAGGUAGCUGUUCUAUAACCCUGAGGCAGAGGGAAAGGAGAAACAGGGAGUGUAGGGGAAUUUAUCUUAAACAGGCUUGAUUACUUAUGUUGACCUGGAACUGACCUUUGAUUACCCAGGCACCACGUUCCCAGGAAUGGGAACGAUAAAUGUUAAUUACCUACAGGUUGUAUUGGCUCCAGGUUUUCGGCAUUGUGCCUGCCCUGAAUAAAAGCAAGCAGCUCCAGCCUCUCGGGGGCCAGUCUCUUGCUGCUAGUGCUAGGCAGUUGCCUGGCUGCUCUUACACUGCGUAUCUGUGUCCCAGUAUCCAUUUCAUCCUUCGGUCACGGUCUGUGAAACAGACCCAGCAAAUCUCAGCGUCCAUUUUACCUGGAGAUGGAUGUCAAGAUGUAAAUUGACUGGUAAGUGACACUGCAUUUCUUAAUAAUUAUAUAAUUUUUAAAAUAGAGAUUCUGUGUUUAUUCUGACACCCUGGUACAUAAAGCUGGAAACUAAGAACUGUGACUUACGGAGAUUGGAAUAUUUUAUUGUUUUCCUACAAAUAAAGCACUGGGAUAAAUAUUUUAUCUUUAUUUGUGCUCACUGAACAAUAAGUGUAAACAGUUCAAUUUGCAAAGUGGAAAAAUAAUUAAAUUGUUCGAAUAAUAAUCAAUGUUUGUGUCAGUCAUAAACUAACUCUGAAAGGAAAGAAAAGGUUUAUAUGUGUAAAAGAAAAAAGGAAAGAUAGGGAAACCAACCUAAAAGGAACUGCUGGCAAGUAAGUUCUAUCAUCAGUGUGAUUUGCUUAUUGUUUAUGUUCUUUAAACUUCUUAUUACUUCAUGAAAAAAAGGAGCAUACCCCUGAUAUUAUUUCUUCUUGUAUGGGGUUUCUACCUUAUUCCACAGACAUGUGGAAAUAAAUCAUUUAUUUUGUUCUAGAAUUUGAAUGGAUGACAUUUUUUAGUUUUCUACAUUCAGCAAAGUGUGAGGCUUGCCAAGUUUGCAGCGUGCACAUUUGAAAAUUACACAUAUUAAUUAUGGGUUUUUUGGUUAUAUUUCAAAUUCAGUUAAUAAUGGUCAAGGUUACUAGAACCUGUUUUAUCCGAGAGUUAAUUUUUAAAUAUGUUUUUGAGAGUUAAUUUAAUAAUUUUAAUGGCAGAUGGUAUUUUGUUAUUCAUGUAUCUUCAAGUUGCAAUAACCAUAAUUGCAAAGUGAUGGGUUUUAACAUAAACCUAGGGAAAUCUAGAUUAUUUCCUGAUUUAAUAAUUUAUAUAUUCUCUGGAGGCUCCAAUCGCUCUGUAUAACUUAGCUAAGUACCAAUACAACCGAAAGGAUUGUAUUCUUUACUUAAUGAAUAACAUCUGGUAGGUUGUUCAAGAGGUAUUGUAAAUGCUUGUACCUCCUCAUUAAAUAAUAAAAUACUUAACUGAAUAUCACAUAAUAUCUUGGAAAUGUCAUUGAAAAUAAAGUUAUAUAACAUUUUAAAAAUUAUGAUUCAGAAAAUGUAAUAUAUGUAUAUAUAUAUAUUAUUGCACUUUAGGUGCUUGAGUACAAACGUGCACAUGCGGGACUGUUGCAUAGAUACAUACAUGGCAAUGUGAUUUGCUGCCUUCAUCUGCCUUCACCUAUAUCUGGCAUUUCUCCCCAUGUUAUCCCUCCCCAACCUCCCCACCCUCACUGUCCCACACCUAGCACCCCACUAACAGAUCCCAGUGUGUGAUGCUCCUCUCCCUGAGUCCACGUGUUCUCAUUGUUGAGCACCAGCCUAUGAGUGAGAACAUGUGGUGGUUGGUUUUCUAUUCUUAUAUCAGUUUGCUGACAAUGAUGGUUUCCAGAUUCAUUCAUGUUCCAACAAAGGACAUGAAUUCAUUUUGUAUGGCUGCAUAGUAUUCCAUGGUGUAGUGCUGCAUUUUCCUUGUCUAGUCUAUUAUUGAUGGGCAUUUGGCUUGGUUCCAGGUCUUUGCUACUGUAAACAGUGCUGCAGUGAACAUACCUGUGCAUGUGUCUUUAUAAGAGAAUGAUUUAUAAUCCUUUGGGUAUAUACCCAGUAACAAGAUUGCUGGGUCAAAUGGAAUUUCUGUUUCUAGAUUCUUUAAUAUAUAUACGUGUGUGUGUGUGUGUGUGUGUGUGUGUUCAUGAAUAUAUUAUUAAUUUAGGCAGAUACUUUAGCUACAUAUAUUCUAUUAUCUCCUUUGAAAAUAGCAGAGACAAUAUUAUCUGAUGAUUUGAAAUAAAAUAUGUAACAUUUAUUAUGUAUUGCCUUAUCUGCGUAUUGUCAUUUUAUCACAAAGAACAAUUGUUCUCCCAUAGCAUCUCCUUUAGCAUUCAGUUUGUUAGUGAGGUGAUACUACCUGAUAUCACCACUGGCAAAUAUGACAAUGCCAAGCAAUUAUAAUCUAUAUUCUAAGUAUCAGUUGAGAACAAGCUGAGGUAAAAGCAUUGUAAACUUUAAAACUGCCCCAUGCAAACCAAGAAACAUUAGGAUAAAUCAAAGGGAAAAAGAAAUAAAUGAAAGAAAUUAGUAGAAAAUGUAAGAGUUGCAAAGUGAGAGACCAACUCACUGUGUGAACAAGUACUUUUACGUGAAUAUGAGAUCUAAAAAAAUGGAAAGUUAGGGCAUGUGAUUAUACAUUUAUUUAGUAUAUUUUAAUAUUAAUAUUUUUAAAAUGUAUAGAAUAUGUUUGCACUCUUUUUGAAAAUAUUUAAUGUAUCUGUUUGUUGCCUUCACUGGACACUAUUCAAUUGGCUGUCAUGUUAGAGAGAACCAUAGUACAGAAGACCACAGAAAAAUGUUAUGAUGGACAUUUUGAAAGCUAUUCUAGGAAGAACUGGUCAUUAACUAACUACAUUGGUGAGAGUAAAUAGCUACUGAAUGUUGAACAUUUCAUGGGUGCAAAGUAGCAUCCUCAUGGUUUGAAUCCUUCACCUCCUGUAUCUCAGAAGGACAUCUGUUUUUAAUUAUCAGUAUUUCUGCAUUUCAUUUAAUGCCAUUUUAAGAAAUGCAUAUAAAACAUUCAAAUAUAAAUGUUAAAUAAGGAGGAAAAAUAAUAGCUUAUGUGAAGCACUGCACUGUAAAUAUGAUAAACAGAUUGACAUGACUCAAGUAAUUCAUGUGAAUGGAUAAAAGUAUAAAUUGAACUUUUAUAGGUAAGCAGCUAUUUUCCAAACUGUUAAAACAUGAUGAACUCCAAUGUCAAGAGUUGUUGCAUCAAAGGCUUGCUUCUGGGCCUAAAAGUAUUCCCUCCUGUAAUGUAAGAAUUUCUAAUUCAUUUGGAUUGUGAUAUAUAUAUCCGGAUAAACAAGGAAACCAUUUGUCUAAAGUCAUUUGUUAAAAUUUUCCAACCACUCAACUCUUACUGAAAUUCAUUUUCCUUAUAAUGCUGCUUGUCAGUAACAAGUCCAAAAGGAUGAAUCAAUGCACUAAAAUAAUCAACACUGCUACACGUUUACAUUAGUCCUUAAAAACUGUGACUGAAGAUGUAAUUUGGAGAUUGAUGCAGGCCAUAAAUGAGUAAACUGUACUUGUAAGUGAUAUUUUGUAGCAAUAUGAUCUUUCAUGACUAUAAGAUCUAUGAUGGCUGAGACCCUGGUUUAAUGCAGAACCUUAAGCAAAAAGAAAGUACUCAGAAUAUAAAAUGUCUUGAUAAAUACAUGUUGAUUUAAUAAAUUAGUGGACUAUAUUUUUGAAAUAAGACUGGAUAAAGAUAGAAUAGUAGUAGUAGUAAAUAUAUACAAAGUACCAUAUUUGUUUUUGGUAAAGAAGUAGUAGUGCACAUGUUCAGGAGCAAAGACACAGAUGCAGAAUUUCUAAUUGAAAAUUCUAUUACAUACGAGGUAUACACACUUGUGUCUCUCUAUGACAUAUUUUCAUCAUCUUAAGUAUAGAAAGACUGAAUCCUUGUAACUCGCUUGGAGAAGUUCCUGUCACACAGUAAACAUUAUUUAUUUAUUGGUUACAGUUACUACCAGUUACUACCAUUGUUGGGGGAGUUAUGUGGAAAUUAGGCAUGUUGUUCAUGAUCAAGAAGUGUUUAUUCUAGUAGGAAAGACAGUUAUAAGUAAGAUUAACUCUAAUAUAAAUUAUGAUGUUUCAGAAAUUUGAAAGACUACAAGUGAAUAUUUAAUGAGUGAGAAUGAGGACUCAUCUCAUGAGUGAUGUAGCUCUUUAAGUGACUCCCAAAUAAUUUUCCAUGAUUGUGAAGUUUUUCAUGAAUAUUUUGGCAUAGAAAAUUGCAGUAACUGUAUUCUGGCAAAGAUAAA
rnacentral:lncRNA from 1 species